rnacentral:rRNA from 1 species
UACGUAGGGUCCAAGCGUUAUCCGGAAUCACUGGGCGUAAAGCGUGCGUAGGUGGAUGUUUAAGUGUGAUGUUAAAUCGUGUGGCUCAACCAUAUCGAUGUGUCGCAUACUGGGCAUCUAGAGGACAGCAGAGGCAAGUGGAACUGGUAGUGUAGCAGUGAAAUGCGUAGAUAUUACCAAGAACACCAAUGGCGAAGGCAGCUUGCUGGGCUACUCCUGACACUGAGGUACGAAAGCGUGGGGAGCGAACAGG